rnacentral:rRNA from 1 species
AUGACAACCUGGUUGAUCCUGCCAGUAGUCAUAUGCUUGUCUCAAAGAUUAAGCCAUGCAUGUCUACGUACAAGCCGAAAUAAGGUGAAACCGCGAAAGGCUCAUUAAAUCAGUUAUGGUUCCUUAGAUCGUACCCACAUUUACUUGGAUAACUGUGGUAAUUCUAGAGNUAAUACAUGCAAACAGAGCCCCGACCGGAGACGGAAGGGGUGCUUUUAUUAGAUCAAAACCAAUNGGNGGCGUUCGCGNGUNGUNGUAUUCUUUGGUGACUNUGAAUAACUUGUUGCUGAUCGCACGGUCUCGUACCGGCGACGCAUCUUUCAAAUGUCUGCCUUAUCAACUGUCGAUGGUAGGAUCUGCUCCUACCAUGGUUGUAACGGGUAACGGGGAAUCAGGGUUCGAUUCCGGAGAGGGAGCCUGAGAAACGGCUACCACAUCCNANGAANGCANCANGCGCGCAAAUUACCCACUCCCGGCACGGGGAGGUAGUGACGA